UACGUAGGGUGCGAGCGUUAAUCGGAAUUACUGGGCGUAAAGCGUGCGUAGGCGGUUCCUCAAGUCCGUUGUGAAAGCCCCGGGCUCAACCUGGGAAUGGCAGUGGAAACUAGGGGACUGGAAUCUGGCAGAGGGGGGUGGAAUGCCGCGUGUAGCAGCGAAAUGCGUAGAGAUGCGGCGGAACACCGAUGGCGAAGGCGGCCCCCUGGGCUGACACUGACGCUGAUGCGCGAAAGCCAGGGGAGCGAACGGG
rnacentral:rRNA from 1 species